UCCUUUUUUUACGCUUACAAUUUUGGAGGAUAUUUUCAAGAAGAGUGAUGUGUAUGUCCAAGGAAAAGCAUGGAUGUGAUGGAACUGGCACAUUAAGGAAAAGGUAUAGAACAUGAAAGAGCAAUUCAAAAGUAGAGCUGGAGAGAAGAUGGCAUAAAGGUAAGUUAUAUUUUUUCCCUGGUCCCUUGUGGGAAGAAGAGAUUUAAUCUAUCAUUUAUAUUUCUCUGAAUGGAAUUAUUCUGACUUUAUGGUUAUGUCACUAGUUUGCCUUAUAUAAUAGGUUUUUCUAUUAAUCUUAGGUUGUGCAAAGAGUAGGUGGUCAGUACUUGAUUAUUGAAUAGGAUAGAAAGGCUUUUAUGAAAAUAAGUUCUACCUAAAAGAUUAGGUAUCAUUAGAACAUUAUUGAUAAUAUAGUUAUAUAAAAGUCUUCAAUUCUAGACUGGCUAGACAUUAUAACAUGGAUUGCUUAUCUUUUAAGAUAAUGAUAGAACUUUGGAAUUACAGAGGAAUAAGUCUAACUCAAAAUACAGCAAUCUCUCGAACAUCACCACUAUAAAUAAUCAUUUAUUCUAUACUAGGAUGCUCUUAAUAGUAAUUAAUGCAACCCUUUUCAUUUUAGACAGCUGCUAUUGUUUUAUAAGCUUUUCUGUAAUGAAGCUGAAAUCUCAAAUCCAAAGGGGUUUGAUUGGUGAGGAAAGAAUGAGGUGCAGAGAGAAAGACAGAGCCUUGGAUAAUAUGGAGCAAGAGUAAAAGUGUUCUUUCAGUCCAGUCCAGAAUGGUAACAGAUAGACUUGAUCAUGAGGAUGGGGUGAAGACAGAAUUAAUAACUUCCUGUCGUGUUACCUGCUUUCUUAAUAGUGCCUAUGAAUUGAAAAUGUAUUGAUUAUUUUCAAGAACAGUUUUGACCUAGUUGUUCCUGUGACCACAGUUUCAUCCAUUGGAAUCAAUGGCUUCCACUCACCCUGAUUCCUUCUGCGGUACAAAUGGGUGAAUAAUUGCAUGGGAAAAGUCAUGAAAAUGGGAAUACAUUCAUUCUUAUCUCAAGAGAUGACUCCGUUCUGAUAGAAGAUUGAGGUUUACUUUUUAUAAAAAGCAUGAUACAUGCUCAUACUAUAAAAAAGAAGGUUCUUAGAUUUUUCUUUUCAGAAUUUCAUAAAAUGGUGUCUUAAAUGUGUCUAUCCUGAGCAUGCCGUUUGGAACUUGUAUAAGUCCCAAAGAAGUCAACAAAUGCUAGCCCUCGACAAAUAUUUACACUCAGGAUGAAUAAUGCCAUCAAAGAGGAUCUUGAAACUGAGGGCAGUUGUACAUAUACAUUACAUGCAAAUUUAGAGGUUGGAGAACCUUCCAAGAGAAGGAAAAUUUUAGGACAAAUAUAAAAAGAUAAAAGCAGUGCAACUUAAAAUGCUAAGUCCAGCCCAGAAGUGUGAUAUUGUAAGAUGUUAUACGGUGGGAGAAAGUCCAAGUAACUAGUUUAGCCAGGAUCCUGGCUUCAGGGAGGCUACUAAUUGAACCCUGGUCCAUAGCUGACAACUUGGGGUAGGGUGAGGGAAGGAAAUAGUUCCAGAGAGUGGGAGGAAAGGACAGCCUAAGCUGUAGCGAAAAGAUUUAAAGAUCUAAAGAGGGACACAGUUCUCUCCUUUCGGAGCAUGCAUUAAGGGUUAAUCUCUCUCUCUUUCUUCCCGCACAGGACCCCUCUUCUUCUGCUUCGUGAAAAGGUCCUGCUCCUGGGUGGGCUACUUCAUUUUCUUAGCAGUUUGGAGGAAGACUGAAAUCUUGGCAAUUAAAUCUGACUUUCAGGAUUGCAAAGUCUGACCCCAAAAUAAAAAGAAGUUCAAUCUAUAAACCUUGACUGCCAGGCACCAGCUGUAUGGGGAACAAUGCAAUUUCUAAUCUCUUAUAAUGUGAAACGUGAGUGAGAUUUUCCAGACUUGACUUUGUGAGUUCCUCUACAAAGUAUAUCUUAUCUUUCUACCCCUGUUGUCGACCACAGGGCUGACUCUCUAACGGAGGGUGGUGGAUAAGAAAUGAAAGAAAGUAAAAGCAAAAUUAAAGCUCUACAUCACCUUGUGAAUUGAGUGCCAGUUUCCAACUUUGUGCUUUGCAAAGUGGCCACUUUGCAUUUUAUUAGAGCAGAAUUCCAAUUAUUUCCAUCACUUAAGCAAUUUGAUUUCUUGCCAUAUUUCCAUUACAGAAUCAAAAUCUUGGGAUAUUAUAUAGCAUAAUGAUUUAGCCAAAAUUCUAGUGUAUAUUUUUUUUAUCGGUAUUAGUGACGCUUUUUCUAAUGCAAGCCUGGGAAAUGCCUUUAAUUACCAUGGGAAUGUUACACCACACUGUUUAUCAUCCAGUCAUUAUUUUUUGUGUGCACUAAAUCGCUUUGUUUAAUGGGUCAUAUAUAUUCUCAUGUACUUGUAAUUUUGUUAUCCUCAUGUUAAGUUUAUGUUAAUGAAUU